AGCUGGUCAUAUAUUCACCAAACUUAAAUGGAUGAUGCAUCUUUUGAUAAAUAUAAUUUAUACUGUAUUAAACAGGAUAGAAGACUGAAUCUUACCCAGCCAAAUUAAGGUUUUGGAUGCUCUCAAAGUAUUUGUCACAUUGACACAUUCACAUUAAUUCAAUUACAGAACUUGAUCUUGAUAUUGGAUGCUAGUGUAAGGUGGUAAGGGACACCUCCAUGUUGUGUACUUCCUAUCAAAAUAAAAUCUAGUACAUUUUUAAUUUUAUGACCCCCCCCCCCCCAAAAAAAAAAAGGUGUAACCUAACAACAUAGCACAAUGGGUUAGAGCAUUCAUUAGGAAUUUGUAAGUCAUAUGAGUUUGAACACCAUUUUGGCUUUUAUAAUUUUUACCCUUCCAAGAAUAUUUUAAACAAUUUUGUCAUAUAGAACUACAUGAGACAUGAUGCAUUUCUCACCCUCCAAUUAAAGUUCUAAAGAGAGGUUUAAAAAUAAGGUUGAAUCUGGACCAUGAAUUUCAGAUGCUGCAGUAGGUUAAGUUUUUUGGAGCAGGUUAAAGUUUUUUGAGCAGGUGCCCUUUAAUAGUCAUUUUUAAGUUAAGUAUACUGGUCCUAACUGAUGAUUAUAUCUUAGUUACUACUGGUUCUAACUUCACCAAACUUGCAUAGAUGGUGAGUCUUAUAAUACUUAUGCACUUGACAUGUUUUGGAUGCUGUAUAGAUUUUGGAUGCUGUAUGAGAUUAAGGUUUUUGAGCUAGUAAAAGUUUUUUAGAGAAGGUGGAUUUUGAUAGACAAAUCUUAGUUAUACCCCCGCAAACAAAGUUUAGGGGGGGUAUAUUGGUUUCAGCCUGUCCGUCUGUCCAUCUGUCUGUCUGUCUGUCUGUCUGUCUGUCUGUCUGUCUGCCUGUCUUUCUAUCUGUCUGUCUGUCUGUAGAUGCAACUUUGUCCCCCCAAUAGAAUUUUUUACUACUGCAUGGAACAGUCUGAAAAUUUGUACAUAUGUUGAUCACCAUCUGAAGAUGUGCACCUGCAAUUUUUAGCUCACCGAGACGAAGUCAAGGUGAGCUUAUGCUAUACCACGGCGUCGGCGUCCGUUUUGUUGCAGGUCCUGUAUCUUAGUUAUUACUUGUCCUAACUUCACCAGACUUCCAUGGAUGGUGUGUCUUGUGAUACUGAUGCACCUGACAGGCUUGAAUGCUGAGUCUGAGCCAUAGGUUUUGGAUGCUGGAUAAGGUCACAUGUUUAAUAGAUAAUAGUACUAUUUCAAACUUGCAUAGUUGAUAUGAAUGAAUCGCAGAGGUAACUUUAGAUUCAGAGCUUGAUCUCCAUUAUCAAGAAUGCUAAAAAAUAUAUCUUAGUUAUUACUGGUCUUAACUUCAACAAACUUGAAUGGAUUGUGUGUCUUAUGAUACAGAUGCACCUGACAGGCAUGGAUGCUGAAUCUGAGUCAUAGAUUGCAGAUGCUGGAGGAGGUUAAGGUUUUAAUUGCUGGUGCCCUCUGAUGAUGAUAUUUUAGUUAUUACUGGUCCUAACGUCACUAAACUUGCAGGGAUGAUGUGUCUUAUGAUACUGAUGCACCUGACAGGUUUGAAUGCUGAAUCUGAGUCAUAGGUUUUGAAUGCUGGAUGAGGUAUAGUUUUUUGGAACAGGUCACAUGUUUUAUUGAUGAUAGCUUGCAUAGUUGAUUUAACUACAAUGUAUAUUAUAAAUUGAACGCAGAGGUUGCUUCAGAUGCAGAGCCUGAUCUCCAUUAUCUGUUUAAGAGUGAUUUUUAAAGAUAUUUCAAGAAAUUGAAAUGCAACGUUUAUUUACAAGAUUAAUUUUCAUAAAACUGAGCAGAAGAGAUCAGUUUCCUCAAUUCCCUAAAAUAUGUCCGCAACUGUCGCCCACGAUGAAACUCACAUUAUAACUUGAUCAUGUGAUAUAAAAAAAAAUAUUUUAAUUUCGUUGUGGGCGAUGGCUGGGGACACAUUUUCCUCUUCAAUAAACUGUCAUUUUUCACCAAAUCUUAGAAAUAUGCCAAAAUGUUUAAGUCAUAGCUAUUUGUUGAAACAAGAUUAAAGUGUAUAACUUGGUACUUUAUAUACACACAUGUUCAAGAUGAGAUUUAAACAACUUUUGAAUUUUAGGGCAAAUAUUGAAAGAACCUGUACCUUCUUCUUUCAAAUUGACAUACUAUAUACAGGGAAAUGUUCGCCCAGUUUUAUUUUCACCCCUUUCGCCCUCAUUGUCAUGGGACAAAUUCAAGACUGGGUGAAUUUCUUUAACUCAAAUUAUCUAUUUUUUUCACAAUUUUGUUUGGGCAAAUUCAAGACGGAGCAAAACCAUUUGAAAGUAUUAUAGAUGGGGGAAAAUAAUCCUGUAUUCAGUAGUCAUUUGACAUCAAUACAAACAACAUGUACCAGUUUCUAUGUACAUCAAUAUUUCCAAAGAUUGGCAGAAAGGUUUGUAACGUAAAUCUUAUAUGACACUCUUAAAGUUUAUAUGACAUAUGGGUAGGCAAAUAAACUGUGCAUAUUUCAUAGAGCUGGAAACAGUAUAUUCUGUAUUAGUAUUUUCUAUGUAAGCAAACAAGUCUAUGGCAUAAUAUUGUAUUGUAUGAUAAGUAUGAGAUUUUGUAUCAUUCAUUAGUAUAUUCUCACGUCUGUGAAUAUAGCUUCAUAAAGACAUAUAUGCAAUUAUUGUAAUUUUCAAUGGUUAGAAAGAUAUUGAAUGGUCUUUUAGUUAUUAACCUGCUUGGAAUAUUAUCGAGAUGAUAUUUCCAUGUACCAAUAAAUCUAUCGAUUCGUAGAUUUGUAGACAUUGGUAAGACUGAACCUUCACGACUUCAAAUUAAAAGCAAUUGGUGAAGAAGAGGUGCAGUGCAGCAGUUUUAUAGCAUUACAGAUACAAGGAUGGCAAAUUACAGUACUCAGAAAUCAGGAAUGGGGUCAAUUACAUUCAAAAAGAUAUGUAGACAUGGAUGAGAGUGAACCUUCGCAACUUCAAAUAAAAGGCAAUUGGUGAAGAAGAGGUGCAAUGCAGCAGUUUUAUUGCAUUACAGAUACAAGGAUGGCAAAUUACAGUACUCAGAAACCAGGAAUGCUUUAAACUGUCAAUUAAAUUACCAUUACAUGGAUUUUCAAAUGCAAUUAAUAAGAUUACAACUACUUUGCAAAUGUAUUUAUUAAAUCAUUUGAUAUAUACA